rnacentral:misc_RNA from 1 species
GAAAUGCGAUAAGUAAUGUGAAUUGCAGAAUUCAGUGAAUAAUCGAAUCUUUGAACGCACCUUGCGCUCCUUGGUAUUCCUUGGAGCAUGCCUGUUUGAGUAUCAUGAAAUCUUCAAAGUAAAUCUUUUGUUAACUCAAUUGGUUUCUACUUUGGUAUUGGAGGUCUUUGCAGCUUCACACCUGCUCCUCUUUGUUCAUUAGCUGGAUCUCAGUGUUAUGCUUGGUUCCACUCGGCGUGAUAAGUUAUCUAUCGCUGAGGACACUGUAAAAGGUGGCCAAGGUAAAUGCAGAUGAACCGCUUCUAAUAGUCCAUUGACUUGGACAAUACUUUUAUGAUCUGAUCUCAAAUCAUGUAGGACUACCCGCUGAACUUAAGC